rnacentral:rRNA from 1 species
CUACGGGCUGCACCAGUGAGGAAUAUUGCACAAUGGGGGGAACCCUGAUGCAGCAACGCCGCGUGGAGGAUGACGCAUUUCGGUGUGUAAACUCCUUUUAUAUGUCAAGAAAAUGACGGUAGCAUAUGAAUAAGCACCGGCUAACUCCGUGGCCAGCAGCCGCGGUAAUACGGAGGGUGCAAGCGUUACUCGGAAUCACUGGGCGUAAAGGACGCGUAGGCGGGUUGGAAAGUCAGGUGUGAAAUCCUACAGCUUAACUGUAGAACUGCACUUGAAACUUCUAAUCUAGAGUAUGGGAGGGGGAGAUGGAAUUAGUGGUGUAGGGGUAAAAUCCGUAGAUAUCACUAGGAAUACCUAAAGCGAAGGCGAUCUCCUGGAACAUUACUGACGCUAAGGCGUGAAAGCGUGGGGAGCAAACAGGAUUAGAUACCCGCGUAGUC